UACAGAGGUCUCAAGCGUUGUUCGGAUUCAUUGGGCGUAAAGGGUGCGUAGGCGGCGCGGUAAGUCGGGUGUGAAAUCUCGGAGCUUAACUCCGAAACUGCAUUCGAUACUGCUGUGCUUGAGGACUGGAGAGGAGACUGGAAUUCAUGGUGUAGCAGUGAAAUGCGUAGAGAUCAUGAGGAAGACCAGUAGCGAAGGUGGGUCUCUGGACAGUUCCUGACACUGAGACACGAAGGCCAGGGGAGCAAACGGG
rnacentral:rRNA from 1 species